rnacentral:rRNA from 1 species
GACGAACGCUGGCGGCGUGCUUAACACAUGCAAGUCGAACGGAAAGGCCCGCUUGCGGGUACUCGAGUGGCGAACGGGUGAGUAACACGUGGGCAACCUGCCCUCAGCUCUGGGAUAACUCCGGGAAACCGGUGCUAAUACUGGAUACGACUGCGCAUCGCAUGGUGUGUGGUGGAAAGUUUUUCGGCUGAGGAUGGGCCCGCGGCCUAUCAGCUUGUUGGUGGGGUAAUGGCCUACCAAGGCGACGACGGGUAGCCGGCCUGAGAGGGCGACCGGCCACACUGGGACUGAGACACGGCCCAGACUCCUACGGGAGGCAGCAGUGGGGAAUAUUGCGCAAUGGGCGAAAGCCUGACGCAGCGACGCCGCGUGAGGGAUGACGGCCUUCGGGUUGUAAACCUCUUUCAGCUCUGACGAAGCGAAAGUGACGGUAGGAGCAGAAGAAGCACCGGCCAACUACGUGCCAGCAGCCGCGGUAA